rnacentral:lncRNA from 1 species
CCCAGGUCCAAUUUCAUUAAACCCCAGUCAGCAUAGUUCUUUGUGAUAGCACUGACUCUCAUCUAAAGCAAUAUGUAUUUUGGCUUACACUUAUGAAUAAAUCCUAUCCUAAGUACCUUCUUCCUAGUAUGCAACACGCUGUAGUGGUCCAAAAAAAAAAAAAGCAGCUUCUGUAAGAAGUUGUACAGAAGAGAGGCUAUUAUAAUUUAUCAUGAUUUUCCUUGUAAGCUCUCUGCUAUCUUAGGAAAUUAUGUUCUCCAAAAAUAAAUUAGAACUGUAGCUGCAUAUAACACUGAAACUGCUGUUUCUGCUGUUAUUCCGGCUUUGAUCGAUGCAGAGAAACUGAAGCUGGUAUGUCAGAGGCCAUAUAUUUACAGCCCCAUAGACACAAUAUGUUUAUUCCGUUUUACCCCUCCCUGGCUGCCAAAGUGCUAAAAUUAGCAUGAAGUAUUCAGAAGAAUGCCAGAUAGACACAAGGAAAUGUGUUGUUACAAAUCCCAGUCCUCUGUAUUGCUUCAUUGUGCAGUGUGGGCCUGAGGCAACAUGGAGCGGCCUGUGGCCACUGGAGCCCAGCUUUAUCUUGAUGCCAAGGGGUUGGCUCUGCCUGAGGAUUUGUUUUACCUCUUUCCUGUACCUAAGCAGUGAAAUGUUUCAUUAUGGACUUUCCAAGAAGUGGAGAAAUACAAACUAUAUACUUCAACCAUCAUUCCUCUCCAAGUGCUGAGUUCUCAACAGUCAGUAGGCAACACAGAUUUCUCGUAUUAGAAGUGUAGCCACGUCAUCUGGUGAACUGAUUGAACUCUUCUGAACACUCAUCCAUUUCAAUACAUAUGUUGAAAGAAAUCAUUCUAAUGCUGUUCAACACUUGAGAUUAGGAUGAAAGUACUUUCCGUAUUGGUUUAUAGUUUGUUUGUUUGUUUUUCCCUUUUGAGUGUUCUUUCUUAUGUAAAAUAUUCUAGUUGAAUCUUUUCUGCUCUUCUCUAUUAAAGUUUUCACCUUGUUGUCAAAUACUGGUUCUUUUGCCAGUGUUCAUGGCUGUUGUGAGUGGACUUGAGAAAGAGAAUAGAAUUUUAUCUGGCUUAGGCAACAUAGCAGUUACAGUAACUUCUAGUUUCAGUAGAUGGUGAUAUUGUGAAUACAUCCUCAGCAAUAAACUCAGCUGGUUAUUUGGUCA